rnacentral:rRNA from 1 species
UACGUAGGGGGCGAGCGUUGUCCGGAGUACUGGGCGUAAAGCGCACGCAGGCGGUGCUGCGCGUUUGGGGUUACAGCUCCCGGCUCAACCGGGAGAGCGCCUCGAAGACGGCAGCACUUGAGGGCCAGAGAGGGACACGGAACUCCGGGUGGAGUGGUGAAAUGCGUAGAUAUCCGGAAGAACACCAAAGGCGAAGGCAGUGUCCUGGCUGGUACCUGACGCUCAGGUGCGAAAGGCUAGGGGAGCGAACGGG